CCUAAGAAAACAACUCUCAUUUUCUUCUUGCCGUGCUCACCUUCACCUUCACCUCAUAAAGAGCUGCUACCGCACCAUUCACCAAGCUGUCGCCAAUGCCGCCAAGCUGCCGACCAUCACCAACCUUCACUCACUUCACAGGAAUCACAACCCUCAUAGCCUAAACCUCGACACCUAGGGGUCAAUUACUUCAUCUCAUCUAGUCCACGGGCUGAUUUUGGGAAAGUGUGAUUUGUGAUUUUAUUUGUUUUUCUUAUUCUGUUGCGUUUCCGUGCUUGGGGGAAGAGGCUUUUUUCUUGGGAGGUUGAUUCUAUAUUCAUGCGUGAUCCAGUCAGUUUUAACACCACCUGGAGGUUUGCCUUGGUAGAACAACAAUGACUUCUUGAAUCCAAUUUUAAAUCCAUCACUGGUUUGUCGGCUCCUAUAGCAUUCCAAUAACUAUCUCCAGCAUCUCUGUUGGGAUGCUCCCCAUUUGGGUAUUUACGAUCUCUUGGCAUGAAUAAGUACAACUCAUCUUCUCCUUGUGCUUCAUAGUUUAUUAGUUUGCUGUGUUUCAAUAAAAAUUAUUCAUUUAUGAGAUUUACCAUACAAUUGAAAGUCUGAAACCAAAUAACCAAAAAAAAAAAAUACAAUGGUAGACAAGGUAGCUCAUUGAAUGGUAGAUGUAAAAAGACCUUUAAUAUUACAUGUUCCAUAACAUGACAUACUUUAGAAAAAUCAUAUAUAUACAUAACUAUCAUAUAUAGAAUAGUCAAAAGAAAGUUCUUGCUUUCUAGCCAGGACCAAUUCAUUAAGAAAAUUUAAGCAAUAAGAAGUAAAACUUUAUUAUGUGUGUGUAUUUUUAUAAACUUUUUGUUUAUGUAUUUGGAUUAUAUUACAUUGUAUUUUUUUAAGGAUGUAUUUUAUUAUAAUUGUAAAUUUAGACCUUGAUGUAUUUUAUUGUAUUUUAUUUUAGA